UAAACACUUAACAAAAUGUCGAUGUGUUUUUUGUUUGUGUCAAUAUCGACUUCACAGUGCCUACUAAUUCUCUUCUCAUUGGACUCUCUAAAGAUCAAUUGAUUAGAAAGCGUGUUUGUGAGAAACAUUUCGACAAACAGCAGUUUGACGAAGAAGGUAAAAGACUUCGGUAUUCGUAUCCGUGCUUACUUACGGAUGUCGAAAUAGCACACGGGGAACCACGUCCUUCCACUGGAGCUGUUCUAAACUCUUUGAACGAUCAUAAUUAUUACAAAGAGGAUAGUGAUGAGCACGAUGAUGUAACAGACGCUCUAUUGGUCAUUGGGAGAGCAGGUGAGAACUUUCAUGAACACUCAUAUUCUCAACCUGUCAUAUCUGGUACAACAAAUCAAAGAGGUUUGUUGACUUUUCAUAAGAUAUUCAAAUUCAUAAAGCAUGCAUGUAAAUUGUAUUAGGAUCAUGUUAUUAGUUAAAAAACCUAAUUGAUUCUGUGCUACGUUGUUUCUCAUGAAUGUGACUGAUAAAGUUGUUUGCAUUUUCAGCUGAAUCCUUAGAAACAACAUUCUUGUUCUUAUAAUAAAGAAGUGGAAAGUCUUGCUACGUCUGUGCAGUCUC
rnacentral:misc_RNA from 1 species